ACCUGGGGCCAAUUAAAAUCCUUCCAGAAAGCAGUGGAGACAGCUAGGUUGACUGGGACACCUGAAGUCAAUCAGGGGCUGGCUGAAACUAGUUAACCUCCCAGUUAGUCAGGUGGACACACAUGUCAGGAGCUGUGGGAAGAAGUUGCGCUGUUGGAGAGACUGAGCAGCACACAUCAUAUCAGGCACAAGGAAGGAGGCCCUGAGGUGUGAAGAUGGUCUUAAUUACCUUGAAGUGCUGUCCUCCCUCUGCUGCAGCACCCACCAGGCCCUUGGACCACUAAAUUCACACUUCUGCAAGUUCCCAUUAAGCACUUCAGAGAUCAACUGGGCACAGCAGCAGUUGACAGAUACAGCAGAAGUAGAGAGCAAACAUGAAAAGAAGAAUGCAGGAAAGACACAGAUGAGGAUCCUAUAAACUUUAGAAUACAGAUGCCUAAUCUCAGCAUACUACUAAAGUUCCAAACUCCAGAGUCUGCAUAAGGGAUCCAAGUACCUCAAUGGACUGUAGAUUGUGGACUUUCUUCAUAUGAAAAACAUCAAUAUGAAGAGAUAAUUUUCACCCAGUUACUCUUCCUCCCUACAACAGCAUAUUGGAAGAGUCAGUUCCUAUUUGUCCAGAUUAUUCUGGCUCUCUCAUGUUGUUCCUCACUUUAUGUUGUAAGUUCCACUGAACAUAGCUUGUAUGCUUUCUACUGUUGAGCAAAAAUACGUGCAAUCCCCAAUGGUAUCAACUGUGAUGUAAAUAAGAUUUUUGGAACAGCCUUGCAGCAAUUCUCCAAAAGAUAAAAGCGUGUGUAUGCACCACACACACACCCCCCCACGCUUGGUGAUAUAGAGGCCAUAAACCCAAAGAUCAAGUCCUAUUCUAGGAGACAAGCGAGAGGUAGUAGCUUCGUAGGUCUGCAUGUUCACAUCACAAACAGAAUGCAUAGUUUGUCCGGUUUGAUAUCCCAUGCUUGAAAGGCCUAAGUACUGAAACAGCAAGGGUUUGCUAAAGUUACAAGCAGAGUCAUAAUGGGAAGCUUAUCAGUAACUGCCCAUAAUCCCUCAGGUUCAUGAGCAUCAAACUGACUCUAAUUAAAGUAAAAUUUGAAGGAAAGUUACAUUCUUUGAACCAAGGACCUCCUUGUAAUCCUUUAAGUAUUUUGCCAUUUCUCACCACACAUAUCUAAAGGAUUCAUAGGAAUGAUACUGUCAGUGAAAUAAUCCAUUGUGAUAUCGGUUACAGUGGACUUGUUCAAGUGUGCGAAUGCAUAAGAAACAGAAAGUCAACUAUUUCCAUUCUAGGUCCAGUCAUCUUAUUCCGUAUCACCCCCUGGCCCCAUUAGUGAUGUUGGCUUUAUCUACUCAUCUGUCAGCUUCUCAAACAAGCCCCUCCAUACCAUGUCAUGUCCCUAUGCAAAGAAUGCCCUUCCCAAGCUCAUCUACAAGGCAUGGACUCAGCUACCUUCAUAACAUUCAAGUUCCUCCAAAGGCCUACCUCUCUCAGCAUGCCUGCAGAAAACAUGACAACUGACAAUGAUGAGUUUGAGGUGUAAUUCUGGGGAAAUUUACAUUUCCUAUUGUAUUAAAAAUAGGAAAUACGCUCCCUUCCCCUCUAUUUGUGUUUUUGCUGCCACUGACAUUUCAGUCAGGAGUAUGAUGGUGCAACCAGACAGCUGUGUCAUCAAAAUCCCAGUACAGACAAAACCACACUUUUGCCAGUACACGCUGUAUAUACGCUAAGUGUGCUUUCCCAGCAUAGGAUAUCAGUGUACCCUAAAUUGGCAAAACACUUCUAAUGUAGACCUGACAUAGCAUAGUAGGGUAGUGUUAGAUUAUUUCCCAUCGCCCAUAUAUGUACAUUCCAUGUUUAAAACAAAGAAAGUUUUGACUUAAAUUACAAGCACUAUAAAAAUCUAUCCAGUACCUACAAGAGCAAAGCUGUGUUUCUUUCAUAUCAUAUCACAUCAUAACCACCAUUAAACAGUCUGGAACUUCACUGGCUAUUUCAUUGAUCCAUGAGGCAGAAAACAGCUUAGUUCUUCAGCAACUAUCUUGGCUCUGCAGUACUGACAGCUGUAAACUUUGUCCUCUCAGAGUACUGAGCAGAUAUCAGUGAAGACAGCAAAUAUAUGUGAAGUGGAAAGGUUUGGGACGGUUUCAUUUUAAUUUUUGAAGUAGAGUCUCUUCCUACAUUCCCCUGAAUUAAGGGAUGGGGCAGAUCCAAAUUGAAAAUACUUGAGAGAGAAUACACAAGUUAUUUUGCCAGUUGGCAUGUAGUUCUGCAGUUGCACAGUGAGUUUAGCCAAUUGCUCACACAUUUUUGUUGUGCAUCAAAAGGCAAAACAACUGCAAGACGGGGGUUUUUUUGCCCACACACAGCUCCUUACUCAGCAAAAAACCUUUUAUUUCACCCAACUUAGUCUGCUGGAGAAGUAAGAGUCUGGCUCCCUUACAGAUCACUAUCUGCUUCCAAGGCUUGAAGAAAUAGAUGAAGAAUCCUGCAAACUACAGCCAGGCCUUCAAAUUAAUGUACAUCCCAAUGACCAAAUCAAAGUCACUGGUUAGUACAGCUGCAGAAGGCUUCCUUUGACAUGUCAAUUUAUGAAGUAGCUGGAUCCCCACCACACUUUUGCACAGCUUCACAUGCUGCUGUUGCCACUAGUCCCCUUCCUCCCCCAUUUCUCAGACCUGAUAUUUGUUGAGGGUAAAGGCAUGCUUUUAAGAUGUUUCUAACGUUUAGAGUGGGCUAGCUCAGACCAAGAAAUUAGAGAUGGAGGUGAGCCAGCUAGGACAAAAGGCUCCUCACUUGCAUGCUGGAUGCUUCACUCUAGCCUUCACAUUCAAGCCACAUUACCCCUAGUACAGAGUAUGGGGGAAAGUGGUCCAGAGUCUCACACUGCUCCCCAAGGUCUCCAGAUAGUAAAGACUGAGUUAAAACAUUUUCUUGAUAUGAGUUUUUUUUGUUUAGGACAGAUGCAAAUGACCUUGCUUGAAAAGUGGGGUGAGA